CUCUAAUGAGAAAUGGCUAGAACCCGAUGGAUCGGCCUUUCCCUUCUUCCCCACUCACACCCACACCCACACCGGUGGUCGAAAUGGCCAACCAAAGUCCGAUCGUCGCAACCACAUCACAAUGCCAGCGCUGUCGCUCAAAGGUCGGUGCCACCACCCAAAUUAGAUUUAAAUGAAAGUCAAACCUAUUACAAAGCUCCAACAGAUUUAUGAAAAGAUUAUCAUUUUAUCAGAUUUGAGUGUGGUUGUGUGGGGAUUUGACAAUCAUUAGUGAAGGUGGCGAUUGGUGGAGAUCCGAUUCGCGAUUGGUGGAGAUCCGAUUCUUACAUCUUUAGUGUUGACUUUAGGGUUUGUCGAUUUUGAAAUUGAAAAUUGAUGGGUGGGUUUUUGCUAGAUUUUAAGUGUUUCGAAAUUACAGAAGGUUUCAAAAUGAGGGUAGACUUUCGAUGUAGAGGUUGUUGGCAGUGUGAGAUGGUGGUGGUGGUAUCAAUUUACGUGCGACGUUGUGUGGGUGGCGACGAUGGCCCUAGUUUGACAGUCACAGUAGGUGAGUUUUAUUUUCGAAUAAGGUGUGAGUUUUCUUGGUUUUUAUUUUCAAAUGUACAAUGGCAAAUAUGGUGGCGGUGGAGGGUGCCAGAGCUGGUAGUGGGUGGUAGUGGCAUCAGCAGUGUGGGUCAAAGGUGGCGUGGUGACCGUUUCUGGUGUACCUUGUCGUAGAAGAAGAAGAACAUAGGUG
rnacentral:lncRNA from 1 species